rnacentral:sRNA from 1 species
GUGAAACGAUUCACAAACAAACAUAUACCCCUUUGUUUGACCGUGAAAAAUUUCUCCCAUCCCCUUUGUUGUCUUUAAUGACACAAAAAAGCCCUGGUCCCGUUGACCGGGGCUUUUU